rnacentral:rRNA from 1 species
UACGGAGGGUGCGAGCGUUGUCCGGAUUUAUUGGGUUUAAAGGGUGCGUAGGCGGCCUCUUAAGUCCGGGGUGAAAGCCCGUUGCUCAACAACGGAACUGCCCUGGAUACUGGCAGGCUUGAGUCCAGACGAGGGUGGCGGAAUGGACGGAGUAGCGGUGAAAUGCAUAGAUACGGUCCAGAACCCCGAUUGCGAAGGCAGCUGACUACACUAGGACUGACGCUGAGGCACGACAGCGUGGGGAGCGAACAGG